rnacentral:rRNA from 1 species
CGAGACCGAUAGCGAACAAGUACCGNGAGGGAAAGUUGAAAAGAACUUUGAAGAGAGAGUUCAAGAGUACGUGAAACCGUUCAGGGGUAAACCUGUGGAACUCGAACGAUCGAACGGGGAUAUUCAGCGUCGUUUUCGGGGGUCCACGGCGGGCCGUCAAUCCGGUCGCGGCGGCGGCGUUUCGGCGUCGUCCGUUCAACGCGAUCGGCGCGGUCCGUUCGUGUAUCCGGCCCCCGGAGCGCGUGCACUUCUCCCCUAGUACAACACCGCGACCCGUCGGGUUAUUCCAAGGCGGUCUCACCGCGUCCGGGAGAAAGUCCCGAAGUUCGGCCUCACGGUCGGGCAUCGGAGUCUCCUCAGGCGUCGUGGCCGCCGCUCGACGGUAGAAGACGAGGAUCGGAUUCGGCGUAUAACGCGUCCCGAUCGCGACGCGGUGCCUCGCGCGAGGUGGCUUCCGGUUCGUCCGUUCCCGCUUUACGUAGG